rnacentral:rRNA from 1 species
AGCAGCCGCGGUAAUUCCAGCUCCAAUAGCGUAUAUUAAAGUUGUUGCAGUUAAAAAGCUCGUAGUUGAAUUUCGGGAUCAAUACGUCGGUCGUGCUUCGGUACGUACUGGCGUAAUUGAUUUCUCCCUUCUGACGAACCAUGAUGUCAUUAACUUGGUGUCAUGGGAAAUCAGGACUGUUACUUUGAAAAAUUAGAGUGUUUAAAGCAGGCUCACGCUUGAAUACAUUAGCAUGGAAUAAUGAAAUAGGACGUUCGAUCCUAUUUUGUUGGUUUCUAGGAUUGACGUAAUGAUUAAUAGGGAUAGUUGGGGGCAUUAGUAUUCAAUUGUCAGAGGUGAAAUUCUUGGAUUUAUUGAAGACUAACUACUGCGAAAGCAUUUGCCAAGGAUGUUUUUCAUUUUAAUCAAGAAACGAAAGGUUAGGGGAUCGAAGACGAUCAGAUACCGUCGUAGUCUAACCAUAAACUAAUGCCGACUAGGGAUCGGAU